AGAGUUUGAUCCUGGCUCAGGACGAACGCUGGCGGCGCGCCUAACACAUGCAAGUCGAACGAGAGAGAAGGAGCUUGCUUCUUCGAUCGAGUGGCGAACGGGUGAGUAACGCGUGAGGAACCUGCCUCAAAGAGGGGGACAACAGUUGGAAACGACUGCUAAUACCGCAUAAGCCCACGGGUCGGCAUCGACCAGAGGGAAAAGGAGCAAUCCGCUUUGAGAUGGCCUCGCGUCCGAUUAGCUAGUUGGUGAGGUAACGGCCCACCAAGGCGACGAUCGGUAGCCGGACUGAGAGGUUGAACGGCCACAUUGGGACUGAGACACGGCCCAGACUCCUACGGGAGGCAGCAGUGGGGAAUAUUGCACAAUGGGGGAAACCCUGAUGCAGCGACGCCGCGUGGAGGAAGAAGGUCUUCGGAUUGUAAACUCCUGUUGUUGAGGAAGAUAAUGACGGUACUCAACAAGGAAGUGACGGCUAACUACGUGCCAGCAGCCGCGGUAAAACGUAGGUCACAAGCGUUGUCCGGAAUUACUGGGUGUAAAGGGAGCGCAGGCGGGAAGACAAGUUGGAAGUGAAAUCCAUGGGCUCAACCCAUGAACUGCUUUCAAAACUGUUUUUCUUGAGUAGUGCAGAGGUAGGCGGAAUUCCCGGUGUAGCGGUGGAAUGCGUAGAUAUCGGGAGGAACACCAGUGGCGAAGGCGGCCUACUGGGCACCAACUGACGCUGAGGCUCGAAAGUGUGGGUAGCAAACAGGAUUAGAUACCCUGGUAGUCCACACCGUAAACGAUGAUUACUAGGUGUUGGAGGAUUGACCCCUUCAGUGCCGCAGUUAACACAAUAAGUAAUCCACCUGGGGAGUACGACCGCAAGGUUGAAACUCAAAGGAAUUGACGGGGGCCCGCAC
rnacentral:rRNA from 1 species